rnacentral:sRNA from 1 species
CUAUUUAUCCACAGAAGAGGUACAAUGUAGCCAGAAGCAGUGCAGGCUUUCCCUAGUCACGUGCCUUUUCCCUGACUUGCAGGCAUCCCUGUAGGGGUGAGUG